rnacentral:rRNA from 1 species
UACGUAGGUGGCAAGCGAUACUCGGAAUCACUAGGCGUAAAGCGCAGGUAGGCGGUUCGGUAAGUCUUUUGUGAAAGCUCCUGGCUCAACUGGGAGAGGUCAAGGGAAACUACCGGGCUAGAGUUUGGUAGGGGAUACUGGAAUUCCUGGUGUAGCGGUGAAAUGCGUAGAUAUCAGGAGGAAUACCUAUGGCGAAGGCGGGUCUCUGGGCCGAUACUGACGCUGAGGAGCGAAAGCGUGGGGAGCGAACAGG